CUCCUGCUUCUCCCUCUGCUGGAAUAAUGACUUUGUACUGAAUUCUCACAGGAAGUCUCACACGAAGACACUGCUAACUCCACUUUCAGAGAGAAACACUGAGGCUCGGAGCUAAACUAACUCGCCUCAGAGCCCACAUCCUGGACUUGAGCCUCAGGGUGUCGCACGCCAAAGCCUGUCCUCUUCACCCCAGCUUCCUGGGCAUUGGAACGGAUCCACAGUGUCAGAUAUGCAGUGGGAAUGGCCCCCAUUCCAAGCCACUUCCUGACCUGAUGGCAGCACCCUGCUAGUCCUCACAUUGGAGCCCUGGAGAAGCCGGGUUCCUUAACCCAGAUUUGAAUCAAUAGCCCCAUACCUGGUAUGCACAUCCAGGCCAAGUGUGGCUGAAUGGGGAGCAUCUGUUCUGGAGAAGGCCACCCUCAUGGGCUCCUCUGCUUCCUGUCCCUUCGGGCACUGAUUUAUGGCACGCAGCAGGGAAGGGCCUGAGCUUGAGCCCUGACCAUCGUUAUCAUCA
rnacentral:lncRNA from 1 species